UUACAUUUCUUUUAUGCUAGUCUUUCUUGCAUAUACCAUUCUAACAUAAACCUGAAGCGAAUCCAAUUUCAGAUGUGUAAAAGAAUAGUCAACAAUGGAUUGUUCGGUUCAUAGAGUGAACUAUACCAUCGCUGUAGCCGAAGUCCUGCUGUGUACUGCCUCACUCCCAAGGAAGGUUACAAGUGAUUGCCAUAUAAAUGAAUCGAACACCUCAAUUACUACCAGAACCACUCAUGUCUUGCAUCCACUGCUUUUAAAUUGGUUGAUACUAGAGGCAUGGUUCCAUAGAGGGAAACGAAGUCGUUGAGGCAUUUAUUCCUUCUACUACUGUGCCCAU